GAUGAACGCUAGCUACAGGCUUAACACAUGCAAGUCGAGGGGAAACGGCAUCGAAAGCUUGCUUUUGAUGGGCGUCGACCGGCGCACGGGUGAGUAACGCGUAUCCAACCUGCCCAUCACUUGGGAAUAACCUUGCGAAAGUAAGACUAAUGCCCAAUGACAUCCCACGAGGGCAUCCGAAUGGGAUUAAAGAUUUAUCGGUGAUGGAUGGGGAUGCGUCUGAUUAGCUUGUUGGCGGGGUGACGGCCCACCAAGGCAACGAUCAGUAGGGGUUCUGAGAGGAAGGUCCCCCACAUUGGAACUGAGACACGGUCCAAACUCCUACGGGAGGCAGCAGUGAGGAAUAUUGGUCAAUGGGCGAGAGCCUGAACCAGCCAAGUAGCGUGCAGGAUGACGGCCCUAUGGGUUGUAAACUGCUUUUAUAAGGGAAUAAAGUGGGUCACGUGUGACUUUUUGCAUGUACCUUAUGAAUAAGGACCGGCUAAUUCCGUG
rnacentral:rRNA from 1 species